rfam:Strongylocentrotus purpuratus Contig38151_fixed, whole genome shotgun sequence.
CCAACGGCCCUUUUCAGGGCCAACCAUUACCAAACAGCUCUUUU